rnacentral:rRNA from 1 species
UACGAAGGGAGCUAGCGUUGUUCGGAAUUACUGGGCGUAAAGAGCUCGUAGGUGGUUUGUCGCGUUGUCCGUGAAAACUCACAACUCAAUUGUGGGCGUGCGGGCGAUACGGGCAGACUGGAGUACUGCAGGGGAGACUGGAAUUCCUGGUGUAGCGGUGGAAUGCGCAGAUAUCAGGAGGAACACCGGUGGCGAAGGCGGAUCUCUGGGCAGUAACUGACGCUGAGGAGCGAAAGCGUGGGGAGCGAACAGG